rnacentral:lncRNA from 1 species
AAUCAAGAGGAUUCUUUGGUUUGGGCUUUGGUGCCUCCUCCUCCUCAGCUGCCUCUGCCUUUGCUGCCUGUUUCUCAACCUCCUUUUUGGCUUCUUUCUUUGGUUCAGCCUUUGGUUUAGUUUCUUUUGGCUGGGCAGCAGGCUUCUUUGAAGGAACAGGUGGUAGAGAGACUGCCUGCUUCACUUCACCAAGAAUCUUCUUGAUUUUUGGCUGAUUAACCAAGGUCCAAAAGUACCUCUCAACAUGAGGGAACUCCGAGGUAAAACUCUUAGUCAUGAUCUGGGAGAAACCCAAGUAGAGGUUACAUGUCAUGAUAAUGUCAGCAAGGGUGACAAAAUGUCCAACAAGAAAUGUGUUGGAAGCAAGAUGAGUGUUCAAAGCGCCAAGGGCUCUCUUCAAUGCAGCAAUAGCAGCUUCCUCAGCCUACAUGCAAAAUACAUAUAAGAGAUUAAAAUGAAAUAGGUAGGCAAAAUCAUACCAUUGAAUUAAAAUGAACUACUACUGAAUUACAAAAAUAAAAUUUAACUCUUAAUAUAGAUUAAUAAAUACAUCAGAAUGGGGGAGAAAACAACCUAGUCUCUUAAAAAAAUAAUGAGGAGAAAACCCAUGCCUACUUGAUUAUCAAUGCAAUGGGCAUUCCCUUCAACCAAAAUUACUUAAUAGUGCUUGAGUUGAUUCCUUUCCAGAAACUAUGCAGGGGAAAACACUACCACAUUAAGCAUGUACUAAAUGUUGUCUAACUAAUCCUCUCUAAAAUAAAUAAAACAAGAAUCAUAGACAGGUAAUCAAUGCCAAUUUUCCCUUCACCAUUCCCUCCUUAAUAUUUUGUAUUUCAAUGACUAAGUUGCCUUAUUCCAAUUUUAACAUAGGACCUAUUGUCUUAUAAUUAGAAAGAAACAAAGACUAAGUAUGGCCCCAGCAAAUCAAGCCCAAUUAAAAUGACAAAAGAAUCUGCGAGGAAAGACAGUAGAACUUACUGGAGGAAGGUAAACACCGUAACCAAGUCUUGGAUACAACCAUUUUGCAAUAUUAGCAUCAAUUUCCAUGGCUGCAAAAUCAAUCCAUUGCUCGAUAUGACCCUAAGAAAGCCAAAGUAAUACAUACAAACAAUUACUUCCAUGGUUUAAAAUAAACUUAACUGAUGACAGAAGAAUACAAGACCAUUGUACUAUAAGAAUCUUACAUAAUCAAUCAAUGUAGAACCACAUAUAGGGUUGUUAACCUUUGAGCGAGCAACUGCAGAGAAAAGUAUACCAAUAAGUAAAAACAAACAUUAGAGGAAGAAAAUUUAGGAUAUGGAGUCAGCAGAUCUUCUCACCAUAACGAGCAAUGGCAUUGCUCUCAAAUACAGGACCCUCAGGUGUUUCCAACACAGGAACCUAGAAGAGUUAUAAAUAUCUUCAGUGAACAGACCUAGAAAAAAGGUUACAUAACAUGUAUAAAAAAAAUUCUCUAGUUUAAAUCUAUUAAUAGGCGUUACAAGGUCACCUUCCCCAAAGGGUUCAUCUUGAUGAACUCAGGAGUCUUAUUUGACACACCCAUCUCAAAAUUUUCAACCAUUUUGACCUGCACACCACUAUAUUCUGCAGCAAUGAGUGCCUUAAAGGCAUUUUUGUUUGUUUUUCCUGCAUGCAAGACCUGCAUGUAAAUCAACACACCACAUUGAUUAGAAGAACCGGUUGAUUAAGAAGUUGAAUUGAAUGUCAAACACCAGUCAAUCCCUACAACGAAUCCAGUAAAAUCCUGAAAUUGAUCCUUUUCGCCCCAUAAAUUCUCUUAAAGACCAUUCACUUUACAUUCUAAACUACUAACCGGUACUUAGCAUUUCCAUCUACCAUACACAAUUAACCUAAUUGACGUAACAUCUCGCCAUCCAUCUUUCUUCUGGUCAAUGGUUCCCAGUUGAAAUCGAAGGUGGUAGAGUUAAAAUCAAAAUCAAUUUUUUUAUCGUUAUGAUUAGUAUCUACAAAUCCAUAAACUAUUCCAUUGAUAGUAAUUAUAUAAAACAUAUUCAAUGUGCCACUUCUUUCGCAAUGUAAAAAAGCUAGUUACAAUUUUCACUUUCUAAUUCUACUCGAAAUAACUUCCACUUAAUCAUUAGGUGUCAAUUCUUUCAACAGUUAAACUACCAAAAGAAAUGAAACUAAUAUAUAUGCACAGAUAUAAAGCUUACCAGAGCCAUGGCUUGAUAGAAAAGAGCGCUACGAUUUGAGAACUGAGAUCUGGAAAAAAAAAAACAGAGAACAAAAUAAAAGGAAUAAGGAAAAAUAUUCAAGCAGGAGAACUUGAUUCCCAUGUAUUAAGGAGUAAAAAUGAGAGAAAGGAUUAAGAAAGAACCUUGAAGACGAAAUCGCAGCGAGAAGGAGCGGGAGAGACUGCGGGACAAAGAGAGAAUAAAAGAAAGGGGGACUAGGGUUUUUGUAGAGUAGAGCGAGUGUGAUGUGGGGUUAUCAGUUCGGGUUCCGGUUUAGAUCCAGAUUUACUAACCCCUUUCUUUUUCCGGUUUUUUUAAGCGUGUCUUUGAGGUAAUAAGUCAUUUCAAGAAUAAUUAAAUAAAAAUAAAUUAUAUAAAAAAUUCUCAUAACCAUUGAACCAUUGUUUUUCUCCAAUUUUCCUUUUCACAACAGUUUUGCUUUUUAUGUAAUUACACACAACUAAUUGAUCUGAAUCGAUUGGAUCACUAAUUUUUAAUUUAAUUGUUUAGAUCACUCUGAACAACACUACUUUUCUCAAAUUUUUUAUCUUGUGUCUAUUUUUUUUAUUACCAAUAUAAAUUAACUUGGAGUAUAAUGAUUUAUAUUUUUGCUCAUGCUUGAGGUUGUUUGUUUAGAUAAAAGUUAACUCAAGUGAGUUGUAUUUAAUUAAAAACUCUAUUGGUUUGAGUUCAAACAUUAUUAUAUGUGAAGUUUUAUUUUUUAAAAAGAUUAAACUACCCUCGAAUAAUCUAAUUUAUUUUAAAUAUGAAAAACAUUUUUGUAAUUUUUUGAGUUGAUGUCCGGUUAACUCGUAUCACUAACUCAACCAAGGGUUUAAAUAAUAGUAUAGAUUAUUGCAUUUUAAUUAAUUUUUAGAAGGAAUUAUUUCUAAAAAUAUGUUUUUUUGGUGCACCUCAAUAGUCAACACUAAUAACUCAUUUCCCUAAACUCUAGACCCCUAAUUUCAACAAAGUGUAUAAUUGUUGAAAUGUCCACUUGUUGGUCUAAGUGACAAACGCAAAGCACCAAGAUCAUUUUUUAUGCACUAAAUCAUCCACGGUGUUAUUAUAUUGGUUUACCUCAAAUCAAACAAUUUUUACUGAUCCCCAUUGUAACUACUACAAUAGAAAAUCUUACCCAUGCCCCUAAACCUAACAUUCAACUCGAUGAUUUUUGUUAAUCAUCGUGCUUAAACAAACCCAUAAAAAGUUUACAUGUAUAAUUGAAAAACCUUAACCUAUCUCCUUAAACCGUAAAUCCCCAUAGUUGUGGGUUGAGUAAGCUAGAAACCAUGGGGAUUUUUUGAACUUGGCAUCUCUUUCAAAUAACAUAAAAACCCUAACUUAUUUUCCUAAACCUUAACCCUAAAACUUUAAUCCCCAAACAAAACCUUAAACACUAAAUAGAAACAUUUAAUAAAUUCCCAUCAAAUUCUUUCCUCUAAGGGUUUUUAUGCAUCUCUAAUUUCAAUAAAAAGUAACCUCAACUCUCAAAUUCAGAUGCCUUUUGUGAUAAUGGAUUUCCUCAAGUGUUAGAGCGCCAAUUGAGUAUGAAAGCUUCUUUUAAACUAACUUUAAAUAGGCUUUAGGGUUUAUGAUAAACCUUGUUUAUGAUUAGUAUGAAAGAUUUCACUAUAUCAAAACAAUGUUUCAACACUUAUGGAAAACCAUGAUCUAAAUCAAGAGAGUUCAAGUUUUCCUUGAUUGAAGUUAGAUUUUGGUUGAAAUCAUUGAUCUAAAAGUGAUAGUAGCCAGAAUAGGUUGGAGGAAAUUAGUUUUAAAGGACUUUAUCAAAAUUUUAAUUUAGGGUUUAAGGUUUGAGGGGAAAAGGUAAAUAUUUAAGGGUUAAAAGAUUUUGGUUUGGGGUUAGAAGGAAAAGGUUAAGGUUCAACUCUUGUUCAUUAGGUAAAUUGACUACGAUCUUGACACCCAUGGGUUGUUCAGUUUUAGUAUUAAUAAAAUGCAAACAAAUACAUAACAAACAAUUCUUCAUCUUCCAAAAUCAAAGCUAACCACUAUUUAAAGAUAUUGAGUUUAGUACCCUAAAUGUAGUAUAUUUAUUUUGUAUAGUUGUAUUUUUCGAGAAAAUUGGUUUAAUAAAAAUAUUCAUUGAUUACAUUAAUAGCCUUUGUAUAUUAUCCUCAACGAUUUUGUAUGCAAAGAAAAAUGGAAACAAAGAUUGGCUCACUAGUUAUCUAACAUUUAACAAAUGCUAAAUGGUAUUACGUGGUCGGAUAGUAAUACAAAAAAACAACUUAUAUUAGUAGAUAAACCUAAAUAAGUCAUUAGUCUAAUUGGAAAUGAGCAAGCCGCUUUAAAGACUUAAGUCGUCUACCAAGUCCAAUUGGGGAGAUGCUUUGUCUUGAGCAUCAAAACGAAGGACUCCCAGAAGAUAGAGACAUAGAUGUCACUGACUGGACUGACAAUACAUUGGACAUGACCUAAGUAGGAUAGAUCCUAGAUUGUUUUAUGAAUUUAUUCACUUGAGACAUUCAUAGUGUGACAUACCUUAAUCCUGAGUGGAUGAUGGACUAUGCAUGUAUGACUCAUAUACUUUGAUGGAAGUAAAAGCCUAAAUUCAAAUAAAUAAGGAACCGAAAAAUCGGUAUAUUGCGUAUACGACUUCUACAACAUAUAGCAUCAUUCACAAUAGUGGAAUUCAUAGCUCAAAUAAUAAGUAAAUGAUAUCCUCUCAUUGGCAUUACAUGAUAGAUGAAAAGUAAACAUGGCCACGAGUCAUUUGUCUUUGUGAUAAAUGACUUGAUUACUAUUUAAUAGUACUAGGGACUGCAAACCCUAGUAUAUUUAACUAGGGUUGUCGCCCCGCCCUCCAAUCCUAGUUAGACUAGGAUUAUGUUUUUCUAUUGAAAUAGACUUCUAAUAAUUCAACAAGGGUUUCAAUUCUUCUCCCUAUAAAUAGAUGGAAACAGUAAGGCUAAAUACAAAACUUUGAGAUAUUGUUAUUCUGCCCGAAAAUAGUGAGAAUUUAUUUUCUAAGUAUAAAUUCUAUUUUCUAGAAUAACAAUUCUAUUGGUUUAUAUUAAAGAGAGAUUUUCUUUUCCACUAAAAGUAAAGUAAAUAAUUUAUGGUUCUGUGCUUUAUUUGAAUUUGUUCGAGCCCACAAUCGAAGUAGUUCGUGGUACAGGAAUAACAAAGAAGGCCAUUCGAUUGAAAGCCAAGAAUGACAAGGACCCGUUUAGUCGAAAGCAUAAGUGCAAUUUCUGUAAAGGUUUUAUUGAUAUAACUAUCACAAAUCGGUUUGAUUUUCAAAAUUUAAAUUUUUCACUGGGCAAAAAAACUGUUUUCAAAUCAAUUUUUUUCCAACUUUCAUAUUAACCAAGAAAUAAUAACUAGACUUAUGAAAGAUGAUACCUUAAGUUUGCUUAAGGAAAUUGAUAUUCCACAAUAUGAAUAUUGCUUGGAAGGUAAGAUGACUAAGUGAUCUUUUAAUGCAAAAGGAAUGAGGGUUGUGAAAUCUUAGAACUUGUGCACACUGAUAUAUGUGGCCCUAAGAACGUCAGUGUGCGAGGUGAUUAUGAUUACUACAUAACAUUUAUAGAUGACUAUUCCAGAUAUAGGUAUGUAUACCUAAAGCACCGUAAAAGUGAAACUUUUGAUAAAUUAAAAGAGUUUCGUGCAGAAGUGGAGAAAGAACUAGGUUUACCCAUAAAGACACUUCGGUUUAAUCAAGGUGGAGAAUACUUAUUGGAUGAGUUCUUUGGUUACCUCAUAGAGAAUGUAAUAUUAUCUUAAUUAACCGCGCCAGGAACCACACAACAAAAUGACAUGGCAGAGAAAAGGAAUCGAACCUUGUUGGACAUGGUUCAAUUGAUGUUAAGUUAUUCAUAGCUUCGAGUCUCCUUUUAGAGAUAUGUUUUACAAAUGACUUGCUACAUUUUGAAUGAUGUACCAACUAAGUUUGUACCUAAAACUCCAUACGAAAUAUGGAAUGGCAGGAAGCCAAGUCUAAAUCAUUUAAGGAUUUGGCGAUGGCCAGCCCACGUGUUGGAUAAAGAUGUGAGGAAAUUGGAUUCACAGAUAAAGUUGUGUAUGUUUGUGAGAUAUCCAAAAGUAAUAAAGGGUGGUUUGUUUUAUAACUCGAAAGAGAAAAUAUUGAUAGUGUCGAUUUAUGCUCCUUCAUUGAGAGGAGUUAUACGAACGACUUUAAAUCUUGAAGUAAAGAAGUACUUGAUGAACUUUGAGGAAGUACACAAAUCCUUGGUUUUAAAUCCAACUUCUAAUAAUAGACUUGUAAACAAUCAUCAACAUAAGGAGCUUCAUUGUAGUGAGAAGGUUUCUCGUAAGCCCGAGUUCUUCUAGUCUAGCAGAAGUGUUUUAAACACUGAGUUUUUUGAACAGGAAGAUGAUGACCAACUCACAUUUAAAAAAAUGAUGCUGAAUGCUGAUUCCAAGCUUUGGGAAAUAACUAUAAAAUCUGAGAUGAAUUCUAUGAAAUCCAGCUAAAUGGAUAUACAAGAAGAAAAGAAUGUGAAUGGAAAGUGGAAACUUAUAAGGCUAAACUUGUAGCAAAGGGGUAUACUCAGAAAGAAGGUAUCGAUUACGAAGAAGCCUUCUUUUUGGUUUCCAUACUCAAGUCAAUCUGUAUAUUGUUAUCCAUUGCGACGACUCUUAAUUAUGGAUCUGUCAAAUGGAUGCCAAGCCGAUAUUCUUUAAUGACUAUCUUGAAGAAGACACUUAUAUGAUGCAACCCACUCGAUAUAUAGCUAAAGGAAAUUAGCAUAAAAUUUACAAAUUGCUUAGAUUCAUAUAUGGACUUAAGCGAGCAUCCCGCUCAUGGAAUCAAAUAUUUGAUCAAAUGAUCAAAACUUUUGAAUUUGAGCAAAAUAUUGAUAAACUUUCUGUUUAUAAACAUAUUAAGGAUGGAAAGAUGGUUUUUCUUAUUGUAUAUGUCGAUGACAUUCUACUCAUUGGAAAUGAUUUAAGUACAUUGUCAUCGGUUAAAUUGUGAUUAACCCAACAGUUUAGCUUGAAGGACUUAAGAGAAGCUAUCUUUGUUCUAGGCAUUCGAAUUCUAAGGGAUAGAAAGAACAAAGUGAUAGCAUUAUCACUAGGUAUAUACAUAGACAAGAUAUUGAAAAUUUAUACGAUAACUGAUUCAAAAUUUAGUCAUUAUACUAUAGUGGAAUAACUUCACGACCAAAUAAGUUUAUAAUUAAUAGACGAAAAGUUGGACAUUAAUUAUAAAUUAUUUAAGCCCUAAUUACGUAUGUACAAUUGGUCCCCCCACUAGCUCGUUGAAAAAAAAAUUAAUUGCAUGUGGAACAAAAUGAAUAGAAAUGAAUGGAAAUGAUAAUGUCAGAGAAAUGAGUCACAUUAACAAAUUAAUGUGUUUUCUCACCAGGUAUAGAAAUGAAUUGAGAAAUUAAUUUAAGGUUUUCGAAUGAUUAUUUAAUUAAUUAUAAUUAAAUAAUUGAAGUUAAAAAAUGAAAUGAAAUUAAUUUUCUAUUAUGAAUGCUUUGAAUAAUGAAAUUAAAUAUACUUCCUCAUAAAAUCUUUUACAAUAAAGUUGUUAUAACUUUAACGGAAUUAGAAUUGAGUUGAGAUAAUUAUUUAAUUGAGUAAUUAAUUUAGUUAAUUAAAUUAAUUAAUUAAAUAAUAUUUAUUUUUGAAAAUAGAAAAUAAACAUUAGGUUGGAUUAAAUCAUAAAAUGCUAGGUUAAAAGUUUAGGAAACUCAUAUAAUUGAACCCAAUACAUGAGAGGUCAAAUUUGUCCCGUAUAACAUGUGAGCAACAACAACCCAAAGGGAAUUUAAGAGGAUGUGUUGCCUCCUCUCUCUUAGUUAGACAAAGAGAGUGUUUUCUAUUAAAAUAAUUGUUGAGUAUGACUCCUAUUUCAGUCAAAUUUGAAAAAUAAUCUUCUAGUUAAACUCUGUUUAUUUGUUUCAAUCAAAUUAUGAUUAGUCUAGAUUAUUUUUUUAUUAUUUGACCUAUGAAUUUAGCCUAUAAAUAGGCUCUUUUACAACUUUAGAAAAUACACCCAUUAGAGAUUAGAACUCAUACACUUUUGGAGAAUUUUUGUGUUUACAUUUUGAGGGUUCUUUGUUUUUUGGGGUUUCAGGGUUUAGUUUCUAUCUUCAUCUUUGUACUAUUCGUUCUUUUUUCAUUAUAGUAAAAUUAUUUUUGCCCGCAGUAUUUUAUCUUCUUUGGAGGGGUUUUUCUACGUUAAAUUUGUGUGUUCAAUUUCUCAAUUUCUUCCGGUAUUUUUACUUGUUCGUUGCUUAAUUGGGUCAAUCCCCAACAAUAACAUUAUUUGUUUAAGCCUUAUUCAACCAAGAUUCUUCUAUCUCUCUCUAUGAAUAGAUAGCACCGAUUGACUUAAAAAACACACUUAUUAGUUAUUGAUUUAUCGUUAUUCUACCAAAAAAUAGUGAUAAUUUAUUCACUUAGAAUAAAUUAUAUUUUUUGGGAAUUACGAUUUUUACCAGUUUCUUAAGAGAAUUUUUUUCCUACUGAAAGUAAUAAUAAUUUCUUGUUCGUUGUUUGGUUCGUGUUUCUCGAGCCCACGCUCAACCCAAAUCCAUCUUGCACAAUGUAUAGGUACUUUUUGGUAAAACGUUUAUUGCUAUAAACAUCAUAAAUCGGUUUAGUUUUUAAAAUUUUUAAACUUCUGCUAUAACUAUAAAUCGUUAUGAAGGAUUUUGAAGAACCAUAUUUUUAAGUGGGACCGUGUGUAUUAAAUCAAAUAAAAUUAUGAAGAAUUUUGAAAAACCACAUUUGUAAGUGGAAUUGGAAAAAGGAAAUUGAGCUACUGAGAUCCCCUCUUGAAAUUACUUAUAAAUUCUGAAAUUCUUUAAUAUAUUUACCCAAACAAAUAAAUUCAUUUUUAUAAAUUUAAAAAUCUUGAUAAAAAUAAAAUCCCUCCUAUAAAUCCCUCACCCAAACACACUUUUAAGUACCUAUGCAAGUUAGGAAGCAAAUGAUGACAAGGACUCAUCACUUACAAAUGAUCCAUUAGAAUGUCUGACCGGCAUUACACGUGUGUGCAUAAAACAACAAAUUUAUAAAAAAAAAUUUAUAGCAAGGUUUUACUGCAAUCAUGCAGGUUAGUUGUAAUAUUUGUAGUGUUACAAUGGAACACCAAAAUAUUCCAAGGAUCGAACUCAAAGGAGUUGGUGAUUUAAUGAUCUGCCACGAAUUAUUGACCGCCUUCAGACAUACUAACAUCUAGAGUGUGAAUAUUGCAGCAAAAGAUAUAUAUAAAUGAUGCGGUAUCUGCAAGUACACGGGUCAGGUUGUAAUAUAGUUACAACGAAGUAUGUGAGUACUCUGAGGAUCGUACCCAAAGGAGGCUAAUACUAGCUCAAUUUCAACCUAAACACCAAAAGAUCUAAUUAGUACUUGAAAUAAGUUAUAUUACGAAAAUAUAAAUAAUAGAGAUUUUUGGGGGUUUUUUAUAGUAAUGAAAAUAUGACAAGUAAUUAAAUAUUGAGAAAUUGAAAAGUGAAAUUAAUCAAAUCUGAUUAUGGGUGAUUAGCUCACUUCAGUAAUCUUCAUCAACUGCCGCUUUAGGUUCCUCAUCAAUCAACUAGUUGAUAUCCUAGUAGAAUCUUCCGAUGGAUCCACUAGAACAAUAAGUCAGCAAUGACUACUUAUCUUCUGACCUCACAGUCUAGACCGGUUUGAGGUGAAGGUGUUUACAGAUAGGCCAUAGCAAUUUUAGGUUAAUUUCCACCUUGAUAACUUCUUAGGGUCGUCAAGCCUAGGUUUUACGUUCUUCUUUUCCCAAACAGCUGAUCUGUUGAGUAAUCCUACAAAACAGUUAAUAUAUCAUAGCUCCACUCGCUAAUCCCCCAUAAAAGGAUUAGUUCCUCAUGGUUUUCGUAAACAAUAUAAAGUUGAUAUAAAGUGUAAACAUGAUAAUUGAAUCGAAAGUAUAAAGUUUAAGAAAAAGCCUGAUUUGUAUUACGAAGAAGAAUGAAUCCACAAAGUUUAAUCGUAUCCACAAGUCAUAUUUCCUGAGAUAAAACAAAGAACAAGCUGAAAUAAAUAUAAAACCUAAGAAAAGAUAAAUACUAAACUAAAAAUAAAAAGAAAGAUUCUAAGCUAAGUAAUCAGUGUCUAUAACAUGUGCCAAAUGAGCCUAUUUAUAGAUUUGAGGUGAUCGUCGUCCUUAACCCUAGGUUAGCUGACAUUCCCGAACUUUAAGUUGGAUUGUGCGGACCAAAAUACCCCCUGGCUCGUAUUAAUUCCCGUCAAGAGUUGAUGUUGCGACACAUCAAAACCUGUGUCGCGACAUAAAAGUCAGUAUACUUUUCUUCAAAGUGUCUUUAGGGGUAUGUCGCGACAUCCUUAAGCUGUGUCGUGACAUCAAAGGAAAUCUUAGAAUUCCUCCAUUCUGCUCCCUAUGUUGCAAUAUCGAAUCCUCUGUGUUGCGACAUAGUGACUAGUAUCAGUUUAGCACGCCUCCUAAUGGUCUCCUAUAUACUCACAAAGUUCAUUAGCUCACCCUUAGACCUCGUUCGACCCCUAAGGUCAAGAAAAGACUCAAUUUAUACAUUUUGUUGAAUUUAAUUAAACUUACUAAAACAUAAUUAAAAUCUAAUGAUAAUGCUUAUUUUCAAGCUCUUAAAGUGAAAAAAUUAGUUUAAUCUACUAACCCAAUUAUGACAGAUCAAUUAUAUUAUUAUUAUUUAUAUCACUUUUUACACGUAAUUUUAGCUUGUUUAAUAGUAAAUAAAAUUAUCUUAGUAUAUAUUUAUGUUUUCAUACUUGAAGUAAUGAUGUAUGCUUUUUAGUAGUUUUUAUUACAUUUUAGAUAUAUAAAUAUGGUUGCAUGGUCCUGUAGGACAAUCUGGGAGCAAAAGAUGCAUAUUCAUGAUGGAACUGUUGCCUAUGUCGCGACACCAACACAUCGAUGUUGUAACAUCAAAGGCAGAAGCAAAAACAAGUCAAUGAGCGAAACUGCUUGGUAUGUCGUGACAUAGCCUUACUAUCUUGGAGCGAAGACCUAAUAAAUUGUACAUAAAUUGAAACCUUGAACUCUUCCUUAUCCUUGGUCUUUUAAUACAUUACAAAAUAGACGUUAGGCUAUAGAUAUUGAGGGUUUAGGUAUAUACAUCAUGGUGGUUUCAAAAAAAUUUAGAGCGAAAAAAGAAGAAACAAUAUGAUACAAUGAUUAUAGGUCAAGCAAAAAUGUGCAAAAAAAGAAAAAUAUAGAAAAAGUAAAAAGUAAAAAUAAGAAGAAAAAGUACAAAAUAAAAGCAAAAGCCUUAUGAGUGAGAAAAAAAGUAAAAUGUCAAGUGGCAAAACAAAAAGUCACAAAAGUGAGAAAAACUCAGUCAUCAAUGCACAAAAACUCGUUGAGCCAACCAUAGUUAUUAGUAUUAUAUUGUAUCUUCCUACAUGGAGAGAUAAGGAAGGUGAGAGAGGGAGAAAAAAGAAGGUGAGCUUGAAAGGGGCACCUAGAGAGAGAGGGAAUAAUGUCAUGUGCCUAACUAUUUCUAGUGUUUGAACUAUUUUGAGCCAUAUCUUUCUUUGAACUCGUACAGUCCUAAGCCUCAGAACAUUACAAGCCUAGAAGACCAAUGUGACUUAAGCGUUCUCUGUGCAUAAUCUUCUAGUAUUGCUAAUGUAAUGACCUAAAUUCAAGGUUAGCGGAAUAGUGGUUUCGUAACCAUAAAUCCGAUUUAAAGAAAAAUUUAUUUUAAUAUUUUGCAUGAAUAUUGAUAUGAUAGGAAAACCGUAUGAAAAUAUUGAUAGAAAAAUUUUACCGAUUUAAUGGUUAGUUAGAAAAAGAAAUUAUUGAAGAAAUUGGGUAAAAAUAAGGUAUGGGGACCUUGAUCUCGUAAAACUGAGUCAGAAAUAUUUUUAUAAAUAUUUAUGAAAUGUAAGCAAUGUGGUAUUAAAAUUUUGUUAUAAAAUUUUAAUGUUUGGGUAGUCAAUUAAAUGAAAAGGACUAAAUUGAAAAAGGUGUAAAAGUGGCUGGGAUGAUUAAAUAGCUUAGGUGUCUAAUGAGAAAGGAUUUAAAAGGCAAUUAGACCAAAAUUUAUUUGGGCUGGACGGAAAGGGCAUGAAAUCAGCAAGAAAAUGGAUUAUUUAAGGGUAAAAUUGGAAUAUUGCAUCAUUAACUAAAUAAAAUUAGGACUAAUGUAGAAAUAUCUAGAUUUCUUGUGAUUUCUCUUCAUUCUCAUCAGCCAAAAGGCCAUAGGAGGGGUUCUUUAAGCUGGUAUUUCAUAAUUUUUGCACCAAGUGAGUUAAUCCUUGCCUUUUUCUUGUAAUUUUUGUGUUUCUAAGACUUUUACAACUAGGUUCUACUAUUAAAUUCAUUAGUUUUUGAUUUCAUGGAUGGAAUUGAAAGUCACCAUGGUUGAGUGCUGUAAGUUUAUGAUGAAAUAACAUGAAAUUGAAGCUUUAAUUUGUUUAUGAGAUGAUUUUAUUAGGUAAUUUUAAUAGAAAUUGAUUUUUAAGACCUAAUUGUGAAAAGUUGGAAUUAAAGUCUAGUGCUGAAAUUUUGAUUCCCAAAGGUUAUAAAGUAGUUUAAAGUGAUAGAAUAAAGUGUUAAUUGAGAAAAAUCAGCUCAAUUGAGAGGUUAAUUGAGCAGGGACGAAAUUAUCAUUUAUUAAAAGCUUAGGGGAAAAUGGUAAUAAACAUCUUGCACUAAAACAGCUUUGGACAGCAACAGUAGGCUAACUUUAAAAAAAUCACCAUAAAUUGUGGAAAUCUAAUUAGAGGAUAAAUAAAAUAUUGAAUUAAAGCUUAUUGAGUCUAGUUUCUUAUAGUAGAAACGGUGUAAGUAAUGGAAUUGUAAAUCAUGAGAUAUAUUAAAUUUUGUGAGACAAGGUCAGAAUGAAUUCGGAAUCCCCUGUUCUGAAUUUGGAAAAUCAUUAAAAAUUGGAGAAAAAUAAUUAAGGGUUAAAAUUUACAUAUUUAAACUAUUAAUGAGUCUAUUUUUAAUAGAAACAAACGGAAAUAUCAUCCAAAUUUUGUACUAAGAGAUAAUUAAUUUUUAGCAAAGAAAGGUCGAAGUUGUCAAACAACAGAACAGGGGUAAGUUUGAAGAUUUUACUGUACUCAUUGGCUGAACCAAAAAUUCUGAAAAUUUUAUGGUGAAAAUAUAUUUGAGUGUAGUUUCAGAAGCAUCAAAUGGUUUUUAAUAUGGAAUUCUGUAGCUUGAGAUAUAAAUAAUUUAGUGACUACGACUCAAGUAGACAGCUUUGAGUGAACAGUAAAUAAUAGUGGAAUUAUAGAGAAUGUUACAUAUGAACGUGAAAUGUAUUAAAUUGAUGAUUAAAUUUAUUUAUUUAGAUCCAGAAAAUUCAAAUAUGAAGCUAGAUCGAGGAAAGGAAAAAGUUCGGGAUUAGUAGAUUUUUGUAUACGAACAAGUAUCGAGGUAAGUUUGUGUAACCUGAAUUAUAUUCUUAAAUGCUUGAAAUGUAUAUUAUUGAUGUGAAUAUGAUUUAAAUGUUCAUUGUAUGAAAAUUGAUGAGACAUUGAUAUAUUUGAUAAAAAGGGGGAAAAAUCCCGGUUGAAUAAAAGGAAAAUUCGAUGGAUCUUUAAAAAGGAAUUGACGGUAAAGAAAAGAUCUAUCCCGGACAGGUGAUCCUACCCUGAUAUAGCCCUCUCGAAGAAUAUGUGUAAAAUAGAUUUAGCUCAGACGGGUAAUCUGAAUUAGGGUUUGAAUUUAGCCUGGACUAGUAAUUCAGAUCCAAGCUCAUUAGAGUAAAUUGUCGUUGUAGGGGAUUUAGCCUAGACUUGUAAUCACAACAAUACUCUAUAAGUUUAUAUUACAGGGGAUUUAGCCUGGACUGGUAAUCCUGCUGUAAGGAUGAGGUUCGCAGGAGUGUGCUCUCUGAAAUGGAAAUGUGCGCACAUGAAUAUGAAUUGACGGACCCGGAAUAGUACGCUAAAAGUGUACCUCUAAAAACCCAUCGAAAUUCCGAGAAAUUCAAUGGGAUAAAUAUGGUAAAUAAUAAGGGUAAUAGAAAACAUGGAAUUGAUGAGCUCAUCAGUCAUUAAUCUUUGUAUUGAACUCAUAUGAUGCUAUUUGAUUAAUGUUUUGGUUGAGUUUGUGUGAUAGGUAAAUGGUAAAUUGAAUGGAUGUAUGAAUAUUUAUUGUAUUGUAUUGGAAAUAUUAGGUAAGUAUAAUUCUUGUUACAUGACUUUACUAAGCACAACGUGCUUACCCUGUUUCCUUUUUCCCUGAUUUGUAGUAUUAAGAGCUCGAAGGUUGGAUUCGGUCGGAGAUACAUCACACUAUCAACUUCAACAUUUUGGUAUAUCAAGAAACUUUAUUUUGGAAUCACUGAUGUGUAUAAGUUGAUAGAGUAAAUGUUAAAGUGAAAUGAAUGUAAAGUUAGCCAUUGGUAUGGCUUGAAAUCCAGGUUUUGGUAUGUGAUGAGGUUAUCUUAUGGAUAUGCGUAAAUCUAUCUUGAAAAUAUGUUGAAUUUGAUUGGUUGAUUUGAUUUGAUAUCGGUGUAUGUUUUGGGCUUCGGAGGCCUAUCUAAGGGACGUCAUAAUAUGUUUCAAUAAAAGAAUAGUAUUUAACUCGUAAUAACGAAAAAAAAUAAUUUGAAAAACUCUGGCAAUGCCUCGUACCCUAUUCCAGUGACGAAUAUAGGUAAGGAGUGUUACAGCUAACAAUUGUACUUAAUGAAAAUUUUUUAUUCACAUGAUUGUAUCUACUCAAUAUCUAUUUGAUUUCUAUUAACGGUGAUAUUGUUAAACAUUUGGUUAUGAGAUUUGCUUCUAAUUUAUUAGUAAUGUAACUUUGUAAAGUAAUCUUAGUUUACUUUAAAAAGUUUUCAAUGCAUCGAACUAUCAAUAUUAAGUUGCAUGUGCGAUAAAAUUUUUUAUAGCUUUACUAUUUGACAACCAUGUUCGUAGUAGUAAUAAAUUCCAAGGGACGUCUUCUUUUUGCAUACUAUAUGUCUAAAGUUGGUUUGCUUGAGGACAAGCAAAAAGUUAAGUGUGGGGGAGUUACGUGUGAGAUUCUUAUUUACAUCCAUCUUCACUAACUUUAUCUUGUUUAAAUAAAGAAAUCAAGUCAUUUUCGUAUUAUUUUUUUUCCUUUUUCCCAUAUAUGUGUUUUGGUUGCUUGAGGACAAGCAACAAGUUAAGUGUGGGGGAGUGAUCUACCAGGAAUUAUACUAUUAUUUACAUCCCUUUGUAUACAUAAUUGUAUCUUGUUUAAUAGUAAAUCAAGUUAUCUUAGUAUAUAUCUAUGUUUUCAUACUUGAAGUAAUGACAUAUGUUUUUUAGUAGUUUUAUUACAUCCUAGAUAUCUAAAUAAGGUUAUAUGGUCAUGUGGGACAAAUCGGGAGCUAAACAUGCAUAAACGGGCCAAAAAUGAUGCCUAUGUCGUGACACCAAGACACCGAUGCCGCAACAUCAGAGACAAAAGCAAAACAAGUCUUGGGGUGAAACUGCUUGUUAUGUCAUAACAUAACAGGCACCAUAUUUGAUUUUGCAACACUACAUGCCUAUGUUGCAACACCACUUCUGCGCGGUCCAAAAGUCCUAGUGCGUGAUAGUUGCAUUUUUUAGGGAAAUUAGGAGAAUUUUUCCUAGUCAAACUCUAAGCACUUCAAAGAUAGUUUAGGCACUUUAAUAUUCUGAGUUUAGCCUAUAUAAAGGCCAUUGUAAUAAGUUCAAACACACAAUUUUAAGGAGACAAAAAUUAUUCUUAGGUUUUUAUUGCAUUCUUAGUUUCUACUUAGUUUAUUUUAUGUUCUUGUAAUCAAAAGAUCCUAUUCCAAAGUGAGACUUUUGCGAGCGGAGAUUGUUCGGAGCCAUACUUUCAUCGAUAAAUCUAUGAGCAUCUCUUUCCUUUAUUUUAUUCUUUAUAUUUCUUUCUUUAAAAUUGUUAAUUGAAUGUUUGUGUAAAGAUUAGAAUCAAUAUAAUUUAUAUAUAUUUCGCAUGUUUCAAUUGUACUAAUCUUAUUAAUUGAUUGAUUGAUAGAGUUUAUUUGGGUUGGUUAGAUUUGGUUGAGUGUUAUUAAACCCUAGGAUUGACAACCCUAAGAAGUCAUCUAGGUAGGAAUUAACUUGAAAUUGGUAUUGCCUACAAAGCAUCACUUAGCAAAUCAAUGGUUAGAGAAGGAAGAACUUAAACCCUAUGAUAGACGAUCCUAGGAAGUCAUAUAGGUGUGAAUUAACCCAAAUUCGGUAUUGCCUAUCCAUGAAAACCUUACCCUACCCCGAUCUGGACUGCAUCAUUGAGAGGUGAGUAGUUCUUGUCGUCUAGUUAGGUUAGUAGAAGUUGAGAAGCCCUGCUAGGUUAAUUAGUAACCAACUAUUUAGAUCCCUACAUCAAUAAUUAAUUAGGUAAAACAAUUGGAUCUAGGCUUAAGGAACUCCCGUAUUCGAAACAAGGGAUAGGAGAAGUUGAUACAUGAACUUAAGAGUAGAUUUAAGUUUAGAUCACUUUAUUUGGUUAUUAUUAUCAUCUUACUUUUAGAUUAACACUACUAAUUUAUACCUUUAGUAGAUUAGUAGUUAUUUUCGGUAAUUUGCUUAAUAGUAGUUUUUUUUUCACACUGCACAAUCUUCAGAAUACUUACCAAGUAUUUCAUUGUAAACAAACUAUAUUACAACCUGCCCCUUAUACUUGUGAACACAACCUUAAUUCCAUAUAUUUUGUAACAGUAUUCAUACUCUCAACGUUGGUAUGUCGGGAGGCAGUCAUUUAGCGAUUUCUAUUCAAAAGUGCAUGCAAGUAAGGAGACCGUGAUGGGCACAGUGAGGUGUCUAUUAGUUGAAAGCAAGUUGCCAAAGGAAUUUUGGGUUGAGGUAGUUAACACUUCAGUCUAUUUGGUGAACAGGCUGUCAACCAAGGAUGUGAAAGAAAAGACUCCAUUUGAAGCUUGGUACGGGUAUAAGCCUUUUGUUUCUCAUUUGAAAGUAUUUGGCUAUAUUUUUUUUUCAUGUACCUCAGGUGAAAAAAAGCAAAGUAGAAAGGAAAUCGUAGCCUGGGAUUUUUAAGAUGCUACUAUCUGAUUCUUAAGGAAAUACCAAUAUUUCUUCCUCCCUUGAGCUGGAAGUUGCGAUUUUGGGUUGUUAUGAGGAGAUAUUUUAUGUUUGGUUAAGUAGUAUGACUUUGUAUGCGAGUUCUGAAAGAGUAAGUUUGUUAGAUUUGGUAAAACAAAAAGAUAAAGAUAUGAGGCUUUGUUUGGGGACUUCUAAUGUUAGAAAUGUUAGUAAAAAGGUAUAUGAAUAAAUUUUGAUGUGCUUCUAUGUUCUGUAUCAGUGCUUGCUGUUGAUUUCGUAAUGAGAGUCUAGAUCUAGAGUUUUUCUUUGCGACAAGUUAGAAUCAGGUGAGUCUCUAAACUGACUCUUGUAUGUAUUAUUCAUACUAAAAAAACUGUAGGAAAUUUCUUGGAAGGUGAUGUGUGAUCUUGUAAGUUGCAGUAUGUUGUGUAUGUGACUUAGGAGUGACUAUUAAAGGAUAUAUAUGAGUGUGUGAAUGUUUGUUAAGAAUGGAAUACAUAUCUGGUAUGAAUAUGAUAGUUCUAGUAAGGCGAGGUGAGGUAUAGUUGCAUCUGAAUGUCAUGAAAGUAUAUGUGCAUGUCUUGGAUGUAUGCUAUGAGGAAUGUUCUAUUAAGAGCAAGUUGUUAUUCAAAUGGUGAAUAUGGAUCGUGUCAGUGCAUGUAGAGUAUCUGUCUGUCUUCACGGUAUUGUCUAAAGGAGUCUGUUGAGACUUUAAACACGAAUUCUGAAAAGAAAAUUCCAUGGCCAUGGCACAUUCCGAAAGGAACUAAAGGACGAGGAUUACCCAAUGGGGUUAUCUGCCUAUCCCAGGAUGAUGAUAGGCAAACCUCACGCAACGUGAGUUUAGGAAAAUCUAUAUCAUAAAUACGUCAGGAAAUGAAGCCUUUGUGGAUAACUCUAAAAAGAAAGCCUUUGUGGCUAACUCUAAAAAGGAAGCUUUCAUGGCGAACUCCAAAGGAAUAACCUCUAUGGCCAAUUGUAAUAGGAUAGCCUUUGUGGCGCAAUGUAAAAGGAACACCUGUGUGGCGAAUUAUGAAAAGAAUAGCCUUUGUGAUGGAUUAUGAAAGAGCAUCAUUCGUAGCAAACUUCAAAUGUGAUGUCCUUGUGGCGUGUCUUAAUAAGGCUCUUAGUGGGAAAACUUUAAAAGAUGUCACUUAUGGCAAUUUUUGAAUUAAGCUAAUUUUCGUAUUCAAUCUGGCUUUUAAAUGUAUUCAGAACACAAUCAACAAGGCAUAAGUUAUCUAUUAAUUAUACGGUGAAGUAUCACAUAGGACUAUCAAUCGAUUGGAAGUAUUGAAUUGAAGAGAUAUAUAGAAAUAAGGAAUUAGUAUGGAAAGUUUAUUUCAAAAUAAGGAUUUGGAAUUGUACAUUUGAAGAAGGUAUUUGUCAUCUACUCACAUGAUGGCUUAGAACUAAGUAUGGUACAGUAAUAGUGUGUUAGUUAAGUUGAUCUUGGAAAGGAAAUGCAAAGAUACUUAUAAAUGCUAGGAUGAAAGGCAUACGUGAUGUAUCGAAUACCCCAAUGGAAAAAGAGUUAAUUUUUGAGUAAGGCAUGAUAUAUAUAGUGUAUGAAGAAUGGAAUUUGAGGGAAGCAAUCGCCAAAGACAGGUUACUGGGCAAGAACAAUAAGAUCAUCUCAUUGAAUCAUCAACUGUAUUGUGCAAAUAUCACAUAGGUAAUUAUAUAUUCCUCACUUAGUUUGUAUAAACUUAUCCAUGUGUAUGUUAUAUUAUAGGUUUGAUUGCAAGGCUACACCAAGAGGGACGAUACCAGGACUACUCUAAAGGAGUGGCGUAUCGGGAAAUUAUGAAUGCAAUUAGUUGAUAUGUUCCUUAGAAUUCAUAUUUUUUUUGUAAUAUAUAGGUUUUAAAUUAGAAAUAUUUAUACCUUAAUUACCAUGUGUUGCAAAUGUAGUUAUCUACUGAACAUACUUAUAUAUUUAGUUUGAAAUCUGCAAUUGAAUAAGUUGUAAUUGUUUGAAAUUUGUAUAAGUAGGUUAAGUUUUUGUUUGUUUAUGUUGGUAAUGCCCAAGAUCUAGAUCCAAAAAAACGGACCAAGCUCAACAAAGGACUUCUCCUCGGCCAUGACUACAAUAAGCUCAGUGAUGCAUUGUCGGUGCAAAUAAUGUUCUUCCCAAAACUUCAAUCCAUCUUCAAACUAGUAGAAUGCUUCUUUUUCACUUAUAUCAGAUAUUUAAAGCAUUUAUUCACUAAAGUACUAAAUAGUGCCUUCUUGAGUAAGCCAGUGCAACUUAGCCCGAGCUUCCUUCUCGGCAUAUUAUUGGUAAAACUGUUUUUUCAUCUCCUUUUGGAACUCCUCCUAAAUUUUAAUUUUAGUCCUACCAUGUUUCUCAUCCGUGAACCUACGAUGCCACCAUAAGAGAGUAACAUCAGUAAAAUAAAUUAAAGCAGUGUUUACCUUAGUGACAUCUAUAAUGACCCAAAAUUCACGGGCAUCGAAAAAGUAUAAUAUCGAGCCUCCGUCUUGAGUUUAAAAAUAAUUAUUAGAAAUAUUUACGAGACUAGUUGUGUGUUUAAUUAGGUUUUAGAUAGGUGAAUUUGGCUCAAUUAAGAGUAAUUAGCAAAAGGGAUUAAAUUACAAUAGAAGUGAAAAUCUAAUCAUAGAUUAAAAGAAAGUAAAAAGGGCUAAAAUGGCAAUUAAGCCAUUUAAAAUGAUUGAGGCGGCAUAAAGGAAUAAAUUUUAAGAUUUUAUUUAUUUAAUUAUAUGAUUAAUGAUAUUUAUUGUUUAUUAUUAGUUAUUAGUUAUUAUUAAAUUAAAAGAUAUUUAGUAAUUAAAUAAUUAGUAUAAGAUUUUUGGGUAAUAAUAAAUUAUGAUUUUGCCAAGUGUGUGGUAAAAAUAAAAUACAAGUGUAUUAUAUUUCUUUAUUUACUUGAAAAUUAAGUAAAAGAUAAUUGUUAAUUAAAUAAUAAUAUUAUGAGAUUUUUAUUUGAUAAAUUAGUUAGAUUGAGACAAGUGUAUGUAAUGAUUUAAUGCAAGUGUACUAAUAAAAUACAUACAUUUGUAAUAUUUAUAAUUAGUUAAUAUAAUAUAAAGUAAAUGAAAUAAAAUGAAAUAAAAACAAAGCAAAAGAAAGGAAAGAAACAGAAUAGAAGAGACGAAACAGGGGAGAAACAGGGGAGAAAGAAGAAAAAGAAGAAAAUAGGGAAAAUAGGGUUUUUGAAGCUUGAAAUUUAAUUUGGUAAGUCAAAUUAGCCCUUUUCUCUUAAUUCUAAUGUUUUAAAAGCUUUAAAACAAAGUUUUGAUGGAAUUAAGUUGAUAUUUUGUAAGUUCAUAGGUUUUCAAGUAACGUUUAUGUUGAACAAAAGAGAUGAAUUAAGAAUUAAAUUGAAUGAAUUUUAAGUUAGAAUUGAAAAAGGGAUUAAAUUGUAAAAGAAACUAUAAGUUUUAUGUUUUAGGGACUAAAUUGAGGGAAAUUCGAAAUUAGCAAAAAUGCUGAAAUUUCGAUAGUUAAAUUUUAGUUUGGAUGAAAUUUGAAUAGAAAUAGAGUGUGAAUUGAAUUAGGAAAGCAAGUGAAUUUAGUUAGGAUUAAAUUGAGAAUUAGGAAGAAAUUGAAUAGAAAUUCAAUUAUUUAUUAUAAUUAGUGCUGUAAUUAAUAUUACAAAUUAUUAUUAUUUUCGUAGCUAACAAAGAACCCGAGGCAUCGGCGUCAAAAGGAAAGGAGAAAGUUAUCGAGGACUAAAACGGGAGAUUUACGGUUUGUAUUACUAUAAUUCAAAUUAUUUAUUUUUAAAUGUUUAAUUUUAAUUUAUGUGUUUAGUAAAUGAAAUGUGCGGUAAGUAUUAUUAUUAUUAUUAUUAUUAGUGGGAAUUAAACUGAAUAUUUGAUAUGAAUUAAUAUUUGAAUUGUUUGUUGAUUGAAAGUGGGAAGUGAAUUUAAAUCGAAUAGUGACUGAUAUUAAAUUGAAUGGAAAUGUAUUGAGUUGUGAAAAUGUGUGAAUUGCGGAUUAAUUAUUGAUUGAAAGGUGGAAAAAUGAUUGAAUUGAAAAUGUGAGAAAUUGUGAUUGAAUUGGGAUUAUAUGUGAUUUAAAUACCCUAUUAACUAGUCGGGCUGAGUCGGAUAUAGUUGGCAUGCCAUAGGAUUGGAAGAGUUCAGGGAUACUUCGACCUCGAGUCGAUGAGACACUGGGUGUCACUAUAUUUUUUCGGAUAGAUUCGAUGAGGUACUGGGUACCAACUUUCUUCGGCUUUGCCGAUGAGACACUGGGUGUCAACUAUUGCUUCGAACUAUCCGAUGAGGCACUGGGUGUCAUACUGGUGUGUUUGGUUGGAUCCGUGUAUCCGCCAAAGUCCGAGUUUUGUUAAUAGGGUAAUUAAUGAAAUGAUAAACCGAACGAGCUACUGAAAUGAAAUGAAAAAGUUGAAUUGUGAAUUGAAAUGUGAAAUGAGAUUGAGAAAUGAACCUAAAGUUCAUGAGAUGUUCAAAUUCAAAUUGUGGAUAUGUGAUAUUGAUUGAUGGAUUGCUAUUGUUGAGAUAUUGAAUUUAAAUUGUAUAUACGAUUUAUGCAUUACAUGUACAUUAUUGUUAUAAUUUGAAUUAUGGUAAUACCACUGAGUAUGAAUUACUCAGCGUACGGUUGUUUCCAUGCGCAGGUCGAUAGAAGUCAAAGGUCUCGGUUCAGCAUCCAGAUUAAUCCCGGCUUCAGCAUAACUUUGGUGAUGUAUAUUUUCUUUUGGUAAUGUGGCAUGUACAUAGGAAUUAUAAGUUUUAUAUAAAUGGUUAAAAAUGUUAGUAUUAUAAGUUUAUGAAUUAUAAUGAAAGAAGUUUAUCUAUUUUAAUCUAAUUAGUCAAUGGAUAAAUUUAAAUUGAUAUUAUGUUAAUUGAGUUUGAUUAGAAGUAUUUAGAAUAGAAAAUGUGAAUGUGAAAUGAAUUGGUUGAUUUGGUUAUAUUUGAAAAUGUUAUGGAUUUUAAUUGCAGGGGGUUGUAUGUAAAAAUAAGCAGAAGUGCUGCCGAAAUUUUUCAAAAAAAAAAUGAAUGAAGUUUAUUAGCGAAAUUUAUAUGAAUUUAUGACUCUCUUUUAUAUGUUCGUUAAUUGUUUAUGAAUUAUUUGAAAUUUGUCUGAAAUGUCCGGUAAUGCCUCAUAACCCUGUUCUGGCAACGGUUCAGGGUUAGGGGGUGUUACAGUUGUUGGUAUCAGAGCUAUCAGGUUUAGCCGAUUCUCGGCCUAAAUCGAGCUCGGAAUUGAGUCUAGAUGUACAUGCCACUGUCGAGUCAAACUGAGUCGAGAUUUUUGGAUGCUGACCUAUUUGUUUGCUUUGUUUUAUAGAUUAAAGAUGUCUGAAGAAAGAAUAAAUGAUACUGAUGAAAGAAUGUAUACUGAAGAUAGAGAAUUAGAUGAAACAGAAUCUGCUGCACCGAGUGUGAAUCUGUUAGGCAACCAGCCUCCUAAUGUGGAACGGGAAAAUGCCAGAGAUAGAGAUGAAUCCCAAUUACUGAGAAUUAUAGCUGAUGCAUUACAAAGAGUAGCGAGAACUACUCCUGCUACGACUUCAGUACCUACUGUUAGACGGGCCCCGAUAAAAGAACUGAGAAAAUAUGGUGCCACUGAAUUUAUGGGUCUAAAAGGAGUCGAUCCAUCCGCAGCUGAAAAUUGGAUGGAGUCGAUUAAAAGAAUUUUGCAGCAAUUAGACUGUACCCCCCGUGAGUGUUUAAUCUGUGAUGUAUCGUUGCUACAAGGGGAGGCUUAUCUAUGGUGGGAAUCAGUAGUUCGACAUCUAUCAGAGAGUCAGAUAACGUGGGAUCUAUUUCAGAAGGAAUUCCAAAAGAAAUAUAUCGGAGAGAUAUAUAUCGAAGACAAGAAACAAGAGUUUUUAAUGUUACAACAGGGGGAUAUGUCAGUAAUAGAUUAUGAGAGAGAAUUCUCGAGACUCAGCAGAUAUGCCUCCAAAUUUAUCCUGACAGAAGCUGAUAGUUGUAAAAGAUUUCUAUGGGCUUUGCGAGACGAGAUCAAGGUACAGUUAGUAUCUCAUCGGAUCACUGAGUUAGUAGAUUUGAUUGAGCGGGCUAAAAUGGUGGAACAAGUUCUAGCCCUUGAUAAAAAGACUGAAGUUGUUAGACCAACCAGGAAAUGUACAGGAACUACGAGUUCGAACCUUCAGCCGAAAAGACCAAAGGAGUCUCAAGGUGGUUGAAGAUCCAGUUUCAGAUCAGGCAAAGGUGGUAGAAGCAGGGGAAGAUAGAUGACGGUAUCUACUGGCAAUGUGAGAGGUCCUUGUCGAGAAAUAGAAAUUCCAGACUGUCAACACUGUGGAAAGAAACAUAGAGGGGAAUGUUGGAGAUUAACUAGAGGUUGUUUCCGAUGUGGUUCUACAGACCAUUUUAUCAGAAAUUGUUUGAAAACUGAUAGUACUGUACCCGUGACAUCACAGAGAUCGGUAUCUACUGCUAGAGGCAGAGGGUUAGGAAGAGGUGGUUCGGUUUCAAGGGGAGGAAGUAUUAGGAGGAGUAGUGAUAUUGCUACCCAGCAGUCUGAAGCUAAAGUACCUGCCAGAGCUUAUGUGGUCAGAACACGGGAAGAAGGCGACGCCCACGGUGUAGUAACAGUAAGAUCAGAACUGUAUGUGAGUUUCCAGAUGUAUUCCCUGAAGAACUACCGGGUUUACCACCUGACAAAGAGGUUGAAUUUGCUAUAGAAGUGUAUCCGGGUACAACACCAAUCUCUAUACCACCGUAUCGAAUGUCGCCCACUGAGUUAAAAGAGUUGAAAGUGCAAUUACAGGACUUGCUAGAUCGUGGAUUUAUUAGACCGAGCAUUUCACCUUGGGGAGCUCCGGUAUUGUUUGUUAAAAAGAAAGAUGGAUCGAUUCGGCUUUGUAUUGAUUACCGGCAGUUAAACAAAGUGACGAUCAAGAACCGGUAUUCGUUACCCCGUAUAGAUGAUUUAUUUGAUCAACUAAAAGGAGCUUCAGUAUUUUCGAAGAUUGACUUGAGAUCUGGGUAUUAUCAGCUGAAAGUAAAAGAAAGUGAUGUUUCGAAGACUGCAUUUCAUACUCGAUAUGGUCAUUAUGAAUUUUUGGUAAUGCCGUUCGGGUUGACUAAUGCUCCAGCUGCUUUUAUGGAUUUGAUGAAUCGUAUUUUUCAGCCAUAUUUAGACCAGUUUGUGGUGGUUUUUAUUGAUGAUAUAUUGGUUUAUUCAAAUUCGGAGUCAGAGCAUGAUCAGCAUCUCAAAACCGUGUUACAGAUUCUGCGGGAAAAAUAGUUGUACGAGAAACUGAGUAAAUGUGAAUUCUGGUUAUCAGAGGUAGUAUUCUUGGGACAUGUUGUAUCUGCGGAUGGGAUUAGAGUUGAUCUGAAGAAGAUUGAGGCAAUUGUUCAAUGGAAGGCACCAAAGAAUGUAUCAGAGGUACGCAGUUUUCUUGGUUUGGCUGGGUAUUACAGAAAAUUUGUAAAUGGGUUUUCGAAGAUAGCUUUGUCGAUGACCAAGUUACUACAGAAGAAUGUUCCAUUUAUCUGAGAUGAUCAAUGCCAGAGAAGUUUUGAAACAUUGAAACAAAUGUUGACAGAGGCACCAGUCCUAACUUUACCAGAAUUAGGGAAAGAUUUCAUAGUGUACAGUGAUGCUUCUUUGAAUGGUUUGGGUUGUGUAUUGAUGCAGAAUGGAAAAAUAAUAGCUUAUGCAUCUCGACAGUUGAAACCACAUGAACGUAACUACCCGACACACGAUUUGGAGUUAGCUGCUGUAGUAUUUGCAUUGAAGAUUUGGAUACAUUACUUGUAUGGUGAGAAAUGUUAUAUUUACACUGAUCAUAAAAGUCUCAAAUAUCUUCUGUCACAAAAGGAGUUGAAUCUGAGACAGAGACGAUGGAUAGAACUUCUGAAAGAUUAUGAUUGUGUUAUAGAUUAUCAUCUAGGAAAGGCAAAUGUGGUAGCAGAUGCAUUGAGCAGAAAGGCAGCGGCUGAAUUACGGACAAUGUUUGCUCGGCUUAGUAUUAAUGAUGAUGGAAGUUUGUUAGCUGAGUUAAGAGUUAAGCCGGUAAUGUUUGAUCGAAUCAGAGCAGCACAACUAGAAGAUGAGAAGUUGAUGAAGAAAAGAGAAAUGGUACAGCAUGGUACGGUAGAAAAUUUUAGUAUUGACGAGCAUGAUUGUUUGAGAUUUCGGAAUCGAAUUUGUAUUCCAGCUACUUCUGAGAUUAAAGAGCUGAUUCUUCGAGAAGCACAUGAUAGUAUUUUUGCUUUGCACCCAGGUGGAACGAAGAUGUAUCGCGAUCUACGAGAACUGUAUUGGUGGCCAAGAAUGAAGAACGAUAUAGUUGAGUAUGUCAGUAAAUGCUUGACUUGUCAGCGGGUAAAAGCAGAACAUCAGGAACCAACAGGUCUGUUACAGCCUAUUACUAUUCCCGAGUGGAAAUGGGAUCGCAUUACCAUGGAUUUUGUUAUGGGGUUGCCAUUGUCAGUGAGUAAAAAGAAUACCAUUUGGGUGAUUGUUGAUCGACUCACAAAGUCAACUCAUUUUAUAGUAGUUAGAACCGACUGGUCAUUACAGAAGCUUGCCGAGGUUUAUAUUCGAGAAAUUGUUAGAUUACAUGGUAUUCCGGUAUCAAUAAUUUCAGACAGAAAUCCUCAAUUCACUUCGAGAUUUUGGAAGCAGCUGCAUGAAUCAUUGGGUACUCGACUUAGUUUCAGUACAGCUUUUCAUCCUCAAACUGAUGGACAAUCUGAACGGGUAAUUCAGAUAUUAGAAGAUAUGCUUCGAGCUUGUGUCAUUGAUUUUGAAUCAGGUUGGGAACGUUAUUUACCAUUGGCCGAGUUUGUUUAUAAUAAUAGUUUCCAAUCUAGUAUUCAAAUGGCUCCGUAUGAAGCACUUUAUGGUCGAAGGUGUCGGUCACCAGUAUGUUGGACAGAAUUAAAAGAAAGAAAAGUGAUUGGGCUGGAAUUAAUUCAAGAGACAGAAGAAACAGUUAAGAAGAUUAAAGAUAGACUGAAAGCCGCUUUUGACAGACAGAAAUCUUACGCAGACUUGAAACGACGAGACAUUGAAUAUUCCAUUAGUGAUAAGGUAUUCCUCAAAGUAUCGCCGUGGAAGAAAAUUUUGAGAUUUGGUCGGAAGGGAAAAUUAAGUCCGCGCUUUAUUGGGCCGUAUGAGAUUGUGGAAAGAAUUGGGCCUGUUGCUUAUCGAUUAGCCUUACCUCCAAAGUUACAGAAAAUUCAUGAUGUUUUUCAUGUUUUGAUGCUUCGGAGAUUUAGAUCGGAUUCUUCUCAUAUCAUUCCCACUGAAGACAUUGAAAUUCGAUCUGAUUUAACUUAUGAAGAAGAACCAAUUCAGAUAUUAGCACGAGAAGUGAAAGAAUUAAGAAAUAAACGGGUUCCUUUAGUAAAAAUUUUAUGGAGAAGUCAUAGUGUGGAAGAAGCGACUUGGGAACCGGAAGAGACAAUGAGAGCACAAUAUCCUCAUCUCUUCUCAGGUAAAUUUCGAGGACGAAAUUUAUUAAGGGGGAGAAAUGUAAUGACCCAAAAUUCACGGGCAUCGGAAAAGUAUAAUAUCGGGCCUCCGUCUUGAGUUUAAAAAUAAUUAUUAGAAAUAUUUAUGAGACUAGUUGUGUGUUUAAUUAGGUUUUAGAUAGGUGAAUUUGGCUCAAUUAAGAGUAAUUAGCAAAAGGGAUUAAAUUACAAUAGAAGUGAAAAUCUAAUCAUAGAUUAAAAGAAAGUAAAAAGGGCUAAAAUGGCAAUUAAGCCAUUUAAAAUGAUUGAGGCGGCAUAAAGGAAUAAAAUUUAAGAUUUUAUUUAUUUAAUUAUAUAAUUAAUGAUAUUUAUUAUUUAUUAUUAGUUAUUAGUUAUUAUUAAAUUAAAAGAUAUUUAGUAAUUAAAUAAUUAGUAUAAGAUUUUUGGGUAAUAAUAAAUUAUGAUUUUGUCAAGUGUGUGGUAAAAAUAAAAUACAAGUGUAUUAUAUUUAUUUAUUUACUUGAAAAUUAAGUAAAAGAUAAUUGUUAAUUAAAUAAUAAUAUUAUGAGAUUUUUAUUUGAUAAAUUAGUUAGAUUGAGACAAGUGUAUGUAAUGAUUUAAUGCAAGUGUACUAAUAAAAUACAUACAUUUGUAAUAUUUAUAAUUAAUUAAUAUAAUAUAAAGUAAAUGAAAUAAAAUGAAAUAAAAACAAAGCAAAAGAAAGGAAAGAAACAGAAUAGAAGAGACGAAACAGGGGAGAAACAGGGGAGAAAGAAGAAAAAGAAGAAAAUAGGGAAAAUAGGGUUUUUGAAGCUUGAAAUUUAAUUUGGUAAGUCAAAUUAGCCCUUUUCUCUUAAUUCUAAUGUUUUAAAAGCUUUAAAACAAAGUUUUGAUGGAAUUAAGUUGAUAUUUUGUAAGUUCAUAGGUUUUCAAGUAAUGUUUAUGUUGAACAAAAGAGAUGAAUUAAGAAUUAAAUUGAAUGAAUUUUAAGUUAGAAUUGAAAAAGGGAUUAAAUUGUAAAAGAAACUAUAAGUUUUAUGUUUUAGGGACUAAAUUGAGGGAAAUUCGAAAUUAGCAAAAUAUGCUGAAAUUUCGAUAGUUAAAUUUUAGUUUGGAUGAAAUUUGAAUAGAAAUAGAGUGUGAAUUGAAUUAGGAAAGCAAGUGAAUUUAGUUAGGAUUAAAUUGAGAAUUAGGAAGAAAUUGAAUAGAAAUUCAAUUAUUUAUUAUAAUUAGUGCUGUAAUUAAUAUUACAAAUUAUUAUUAUUUUCGUAGCUAACAAAGAACCCGAGGCAUCGGCGUCAAAAGGAAAGGAGAAAGUUAUCGAGGACUAAAACGGGAGAUUUACGGUUUGUAUUACUAUAAUUCAAAUUAUUUAUUUUUAAAUGUUUAAUUUUAAUUUAUGUGUUUAGUAAAUGAAAUGUGCGGUAAGUAUUAUUAUUAUUAUUAUUAUUAGUGGGAAUUAAACUGAAUAUUUGAUAUGAAUUAAUAUUUGAAUUGUUUGUUGAUUGAAAGUGGGAAGUGAAUUUAAAUCGAAUAGUGACUGAUAUUAAAUUGAAUGGAAAUGUAUUGAGUUGUGAAAAUGUGUGAAUUGCGGAUUAAUUAUUGAUUGAAAGGUGGAAAAAUGAUUGAAUUGAAAAUGUGAGAAAUUGUGAUUGAAUUGGGAUUAUAUGUGAUUUAAAUACCCUAUUAACUAGUCGGGCUGAGUCGGAUAUAGUUGGCAUGCCAUAGGAUUGGAAGAGUUCAGGGAUACUUCGACCUCGAGUCGAUGAGACACUGGGUGUCACUAUAUUUUUUCGGAUAGAUUCGAUGAGGUACUGGGUACCAACUUUCUUCAGCUUUGCCGAUGAGACACUGGGUGUCAACUAUUGCUUCGAACUAUCCGAUGAGGCACUGGGUGUCAUACUGGUGUGUUUGGUUGGAUCCGUGUAUCCGCCAAAGUCUGAUUUUUGUUAAUAGGGUAAUUAAUGAAAUGAUAAACCGAACGAGCUACUGAAAUGAAAUGAAAAAGUUGAAUUGUGAAUUGAAAUGUGAAAUGAGAUUGAGAAAUGAACCUAAAGUUCAUGAGAUGUUCAAAUUCAAAUUGUGGAUAUGUGAUAUUGAUUGAUGGAUUGCUAUUGUUGAGAUAUUGAAUUUAAAUUGUAUAUACGAUUUAUGCAUUACAUGUACAUUAUUGUUAUAAUUUGAAUUAUGGUAAUACCACUGAGUAUGAAUUACUUAGCGUACGGUUGUUUCCGUGCGCAGGUCGAUAGAAGUCAAAGGUCUCGGUUCAGCAUCCAGAUUAAUCCCGGCUUCAGCAUAACUUUGGUGAUGUAUAUUUUCUUUUGGUAAUGUGGCAUGUACAUAGGAAUUAUAAGUUUUAUAUAAAUGGUUAAAAAUGUUAGUAUUAUAAGUUUAUGAAUUAUAAUGAAAGAAGUUUAUCUAUUUUAAUCUAAUUAGUCAAUGGAUAAAUUUAAAUUGAUAUUAUGUUAAUUGAGUUUGAUUAGAAGUAUUUAGAAUAGAAAAUGUGAAUGUGAAAUGAAUUGGUUGAUUUGGUUAUAUUUGAAAAUGUUAUGGAUUUUAAUUGUAGGGGGUUGUAUGUAAAAAUAAGCAGAAGUGCUGCCGAAAUUUUUCGAAAAAAAAUGAAUGAAGUCUAUUAGCGAAAUUUAUAUGAAUUUAUUACUCUCUUAUAUAUGUUCGUUAAUUGUUUAUGAAUUAUUUGGAAUUUGUCUGAAAUGUCCGGUAAUGCCUCGUAACCCUAUUCUGGCAACAGUUCGGGGUUAGGGGGUGUUACAACAUCAUCCUAAUACCCAACGACUGAUAGUGUUGUUCCAUUUCCCACAAGAAGUUGUCCACUUCUCUAGUGGACCUUCCCCCUCAAACUUCUCUGGUUUGGGAACAUCCAUCUUCCGUUGAUUUGGUCUCGAAGCCAACAUCUUAUUGCUCAAAUUAGCCUUAUAGAUUGUGAGCUCCCCCUUAAGCUCCUCAAUUUUUUCUUUCAAGGUCAUCAUUGUGGCCUCAAGAGCAUCAUCCGUCACGGUCAACUUAUCCACAAUGGAACUAAGCAUCCAUUGCAUCACUUCCACAUUAGAACCGAGAGACUCCAAGAUAAAUUCCUUGAAUUUCUCCUUCAUCGAGUUUAACUCAUUGGUGCGUCGCUCAACUACCUUGAGUGUCUCCCCCAUAUCUCCAAUAGGCUCCUCAAGAUUGGUCACUUGAAUUGCCAAAGCCGACAGCAUUUCCCUCGAUCAAUUAGCUUUGCUAGAGCUCCCGUGGGUCUCCAUAGGCUUAAUUUGAUCUUCUACUCCUUUUGUCAUCUCAAGUGGCACUUUCAAAACCUUAGCUCUAAUACCAACUAUCACAGGGGUAGAACUUUAGUCUCACAAUCCGUGCGACCUUAGGCAAAUUCUUAGGUUCAAAUCCGCCUAAGUUAGUCUAACUCUUGCAAAGUGAAAAAUCUUGAUAGAAAUUCUCUAAGGUGCAAAAAAUAAAGUGAAAGUAAAUCAAAACAAAAGAACAAAAAAUGCCACAAGAAAGCAAAGUACAUCAAGUGUUUGAGUAAAUGUUCUCAAAGUAUUCUAUUACUCUGGAAAUAAUACAAAAAAUAGGAUAGGAUACAAUGGAAUAUUACAAAUGAGGGAGAAUGCCUCUAUUUAUACUUGAGCUCCCCAAGCCAACGAUAUAGAUUGAGUUACAUUAAUGAUUGAGAUUAAAUCCUAUCUACAAUUGAGAUUCUUAAAGGAUUGACUUAAUCUUUUAAGAUUAUAAAAUCAAGUCUUAUCAUGUUACAUAUCUUCUAAGAUUGGUUUCCUUAUUUGCCAAUAUAGCCCUAAUUUUCCAUAAAUGCUUCACUGGACUAUCAAUGCUUCAAGUAGACAGGCUUCUCCAUAUGCUCCACAAAUCGGGCCAGUUCAAAUGCGUCGAAUGAGCCAUGUUUCAUCAUUUGACCUCCAUGGGACAAUCCUUGGCAUUCAUCACGGGCUCUGAUCCGUGACCCAUGACAUAAGCACAUAAAUGUUUAGUAAGUUUAAUUGACAAGUAUUAUACUUAUCUUGCUAGGUGGACCUACAAAUUCAUUGCUCAACAAGCUUCAUAUUCUCGUAUUAGUUACUUAGCAUAAGAUAAGGAAAAUGUGUAGGUAACCAUGUUCAUUAAGUCUAUACAAGCAAAUUAUAACAUGUCCAAUAAGUGUUCAUUAUAUUCUAUUGAUCACAUGUGCACCUAUUUCCACUUUAUUACUACCUUUCAAUUCCAAUUUACGAGUUAAGAUAAUCAAGUUCAUACCUUUUUCAACCUUAAUUCUUUUCUUUAACCAUUUCUUGUCCAAUUUCAAUUUUGUAGCCCAUGUAAUCUUAGUAAAAUAGGACUCGGCUACUAUGAGAAAACCAAAAAUGCUAAGCCCAAAGGCCAUCACAUAUCAUAUCAUGUAGGCCUCCGAAGAGGUAUUGAAAGUCUAAUGGUCUAUAACAAAUGUUCUACCAAGGGUAAGCUAGAACUGGGUUUUCAGAAAACAAACCACAUACCUCUGAACCUCACACCACAACAAAUGUACUUAAGUGUAAGGCACAAAGGCAACAUAUAACAAAUAGGUUCAAAGGCGACAUACACAUAUAACUCUAAUUGACAUGUCAAUCGUAUCCUAACCUUUCUACCAAGUUUACAUAAGCUAUCAUUAACAUACUAAAGAAUUCACAUUUAAGUACCAUUAAGGCAAUUUUUCAUAUGUAUCGUCAUAUUUCCAUAAUGCCACACUUUAAUCACAAGAGUUAAGAUCUUCAAUUGAGGUUUUCAUACCACAUGAAUUUACGUGUUUGUUUAUUCACGUUAACAUGGUUACGUAUAUCAUAAUCAUACUAAAUCUUAACUUGACAUAGUCAAUUACCAUAUUUAACACGUUCUUUCAUAUUUAAUUCUUUGCAUAACAUAGUUCAGUAUAUAAACAUAUUAACUAGUAUAUUCCAUUAAGGUUCUGUUAAUAUACUCAUUAAUUAAUCGUCCAUUCAUGAUCUUAACAUGUUAUAUUCAUUAUGCAUCAAAUUAAAUGUUGUUGAGCUAUUUAACACCUAUAAACAUUGUACUAAAGACACAUAAUAAGCAAAUAUUGUAAGUUCAAGUGAACUUACCUAUUAAGAUCAUUUAAUGAUCAUCAAUUUAAAUUUUCAUUUCCUUAACUUAAGAUUCUACUCAAAAUACACACAACACAUACAAGCAUUGAAUUAAUAAUUUGAAUCUCCUUUGGUUAGUCUUACAAGCAUUGGAUUAAUUGAAUUCAACACUUGAUAGCCAUAUAGUGGCCAUUUUACUUGUUGAAAAUUCAAGAAUGCUUAACCUUUGAGCCUUAGACUUUUAUAUCCAAAAUUGAUAUAACUCGUAAUUUUCCUAUUCAAUUUUUGUUCCAACUUUAAAGUUAUAAUUUCAAGACCUCAAAUGAUCCAAAAACAUGUUUAAACUCCAAAGUUCUCAUAAUUAUCUCUAAGGCUUCUUAAGUACUCAACAAUGGUGGUAUGAACAUCCUUUAACCAAUUUUUAAUCCACCUUCUUUUCUAACUUACACUCUUCUAAGUUCAUCCCAACAUAAGCAUUGAACUAUCAUGAUCAAGCUUCAUCUCUUUCAGUUCCAAGCAUUCAUCUAUGAUUAUCUAAGGAUUUUUCUCAUCAAUUUUAACAUCGAAAAUGAAUGGGCUCAUGCUUAUCUAUUAUUUUAUGCUAUCAAUUAAACCAAAAUUCAAAGGAAACUUAUCAAUUUCUUGAAGAGCAACUCACGGCACCAUGAAACCUCCAUGAAAAUUUUCUUUUUCUUCUUUGUUCUUAAACCAUGGAGAAUGGAUGAGGAUGACCACAUAAUAAGCUUAUUCUCCCACCCACUAAGUAUAUAUAUACCUAAUUAAUCAAUUUAUUAACCUUUAAUAAUAAUCAUCCAAUGUUGGGAUUUAAGCAUGGCAAAUUGAGCGGAAAUGUAUGGCUUUUACCAUGCUUCUCCACUAAGUAAAUAAAUGAUGGUUUAUUUGUCAUUUUAAGGCAUUUGAUUAAUUUUUCAUCCAAUCCUCCAAACCUUGCUAGUGCAUAUUUAGAUCUUAUGCAUCAAUUACUAAUUUAUCAAUUUAAUCCCUUUAAUAAUUCUCGACAAUAUUUCAUAUCUACUUCAUUAACUUCUCGAUUAAUAAUAAAUUUUUGAAACGGCUUGAUCGAGAAAUCGAAUUAUUCCUAUCACAGCGAAAAAUAGAUCAUCAAACUAUUUUAAUUUGAUUUAUUAAUGUCUUUUCCAAAUUCGUAUUUAAUUAAUAAAUAUUCCACAAUAACCUUCAUUAAUUGAUAAUUUUUCCUUGUAUUAUAGGAGAUUUAUAAAUAUUCAUAUUGUAGCAUAAGUAAACUCAAUUUAAAGUGCACAAGGAAAUAGUCAAAUAUCUCAAACUUCAAGAGCCUUUAAUUAAGCCACAAUGUGUUCGCACACUCUAUUAACACUAGUGAAUUUCAUUAAUUAUAAUUUGAUCAUUAGAGUACUAGCUAAAAUUUUAUCCCAAGAUUCAAAUUGUCUUUCAAUAAAUCCUCGACAAUUUUGUGGUCUCUAACUCAAAAUUUUUUUACUUUUGUGAUAUUCGUAAAGAACAACUUCAGCAAGUAAUUCAUCUUUAUGAAUAGUCAUCACUAAUUAAAUCAUGCAUAUUAAAUUUGAUAUCAGAAAAGCUUACAAGUCGCAUCAUAAAUACAUAAUUGUGAUAUAUUUGAAUGGUUUUCCACCUCAGCAUAGGCUUAUUUUAGAGUAAAUUUGUAUGCAUUUUAGGGAAAAAUACCAAAAAAACCAAUUUUUUUUUAAAUUUACCGAAAUGGGCUCAGUAUUUUAUUAUUUACCGGAAUGGGCAUUUUCCCCGAAACCGCGUCCACGUCAGCACGAUGUCAAGGUACGUGCCAGGAAAUCGCGGCCACGUCAGCGCGCUUUGCUGACAUGGCAACAAAUCGCGUCCUCUAAAGCGCGAUUUGUGUCCACGUCAGCAAAACGCUCUGACGUGGACGCGAUUUCCUGGCACGUACCCUGACAUCGUGCUGAUGUGGAUGCAAUUUCGCCGUGUCUCCCACGUUAGGGUUUUUAGGGGUUUUAGGGCUUUUGGAGAAAAAAGUAAACAAAUAAGGGAUUAGGGUUAAGGGUUUCGUAAUUAAAUUAAUUAAAUUUUAUUCAAAAUUGGAUUACGUUUCGUGUUUAUGGGUUUUUAAGAUAAAAUCAAAGCAGGAUGAUUUAUCAGAAGGAUUUUUGAAGUCGCACCCACGUGUACGCGCUUUUGCUACAGUAGGUCUUGGGAAAAUAAUUUCGACUUGAUGUUUUUGAGCAAAUAGUUUAAAAAACAUUUCAAGCAGAAUGCUUUGUGAGAAGAAUUUGUGAAAUCGCGCCGUCGUGGACGCGCUUUUACUACAGUUGGUCCUAAAAGAAAUAAUUUCGAGUUGAUGUUUUUGAGCAAAUAGUUUAAAAAACGCUUCAAACAGGAUGCUUUAUAAUAAGAAUUUGUGAAGUCGUGCCCACGUGGAUGCGCUUUUGCUACAGUAGGUCCUAAAAAAAUAAUUUUGAGUUAACGUUUCUGAGCAAAUAAUAUAAAACAACGCUGCAAGUAGCAUGCUAUUUGAGAAGAAUUUGUGAAAUUGUGCCCUCGUGAACGUGCUUUUGCUACAGUUGGUCCUGGAAAAAUAAUUUUGACUUGACGUUUCUGAGCAAAUAGUAUAAAAUCGAUUCUAGAAGGAUGCUUUAUGAGAAGAAUUUGUGAAAUCACGCCCACGUGGACGCGCUUUUGCUACAGUAACAUGUUUGGGCUGAGGCUAUAAAUGAGGCAAAAAAUGUUCUGAGAUUGCAUAAGUCACAGCAAAAACAAUUUAGAGAGGCUAAGAAGGUUAGAGUUUCAAAUAUGAGUGAACGUAUUAGUGCUGUUAUUUACUACAGUGGUGAGGUUUGCCACACUGAGAAUGGUGUUGUUUUUUUGUCGAAGAAUACGGUGCGACUGGUUUUUAACCAAAACAUAGAUUUGACAGAACUUCGUAAAAGAAUUAGGCGUAAAAUUUUCGAAACGACGCCAAUGAAAGUUCUGUCUAUUACAUAUCGAUUUUGUUCCUCUGUUGAUCCGGUGACAUAUGACUCGUUCGACAUAAAAGGUGAUCGUAGCUUGGAGGCAAUUGUGCAGACUCAUCUUGCUAGUCGAGCACAUUAUAUUGAGUUAUAUGUACAAUUUACAUUGCCAAAUGAUGUACUUGCGACCAGUGUUCGAGAUGUAUACACGACCCCUGGCCAACAUUCGGUUAGCGGGUUAGAAAACACGAAACAGCCCAUGUUUGGUAGUGGUGUUGAAUGCACAUCCCCCGCAGGACCUCUGUCGGUGGAUGGGACAUGUACGUCGGUGGUUCGAUGUUUGAUGCUGGAAAUACGUACUGGGGAACGUCAUCAAGUUCUAGUGAUUAACAAUCUACAUCCAAUUGGGGACGUUAUGAAAUGCCCAGAAAAAAGGAUGAUGUACUCCCUACGACGUCAAUUGGUGAGGGGACCUCAUACGCUGCAGAUGAUUAUGGGUUAGAAGAUGACUCCGAUGUGGAUCUACCUCGAGAGCUCGGGCCUGAUGGUGUAGAAGUUGGCUUAUUUUCUGAACCGGAGUCUAUUCCAACAAAACUUGAAGAUGCUGAAAGGAGUUCAGAUGAAGAAGAAAAUCCACGAUUCAGAGCAUACUCACCUUCAGCCCACAUGCAUAAUGUCGAUCUGUCUGCAGAUGAUACAUUAGAGUUUCCAGAUCUACCACACUGGUUGCGUGAUCGUACCAGUUCAGGGCUAGAUUCAGGUGAAUUUUAAGUUGGUAAUCAGUUUACCAACAAGGAUAGUUUUAUUGGUGUUUUGAAACAACAUAGCAUCAAAAAAUGCGUUAACUACCACGUCGUUAAAUCCAAAUCUGAUAAGUUUGAAGCGAAAUGUACGGUGCAAUAUGGCACAUGUUCAUGGAAAAUCUACGCUUCGUUAAGGAAAAAGACAGGGUUGUGGGAGAUUAAAAAGUACAAAGGUCCACAUACAUGUGCUGCAGGUACAAUAUUGACGGUAUCUGAAUAAUACUUUUAUUAUGUAAUGUUGCAUUAUUUAAUGUAAUCCGUUUAUAGGUGUUUCACAAAAUCAUCCGAAGAUGGAUUCAGCUAUGUUAGCUAGCUUGAUACUGCCCACGGUAAAAGCAGAUUCCAGGAUUUUAGUACCGGUGUUAAUUGCCAAUAUUCGUAGCCAAAUGGGGUACACGCCCUCUUACCGUAAGGCUUGGAUAGCUAAGAAAAAGGCGUUGAAGAAGAUGCAUAGUUGGUGAGACGCCUCAUAUACUGAAAUAUGACAGUGGUGUCAAGUGCUAGAGAGAUACGUCCAAGGUGCCUCACAGACCUUGAAACGGAACAUGCGUACUACAACGGCCAAUUGCUACGUGGAUGCCAAGUGUUCAAACGUCUGUUUUGGACCUUUAAGUAAUGCCAAGACGCAUUUCCAAGCUGCAAGACAUUGGUACAAAUUGACAGUACCUUUAUGUUUGGUAGGUAUACUCAUCGGCUAUUGCUUGCAGUGGUACAGGAUAGCGGUGGGAGAAUUCUUCCAAUUGCAUUUGCAAUAACACCGGGGGAGUCGUCUGAUGACUAGGAUUUCUUUCUCUCUAGGUUAAGGAGGCAUGUGUGCCUCCAACCUGAUAUCUGUGUUAUUUCAGAUCGGGGCACCGGUAUACUAGUUGCAUUUGAUCGACAGGGAAGCUUAUGGCAGUGCACACACCAUCGAUAUUGCGUAAGACACGUUGCUUCCAACUACUACAGGCAAUACCCAUCUAAGAGCGAACGACGACAAGUGACCAACAUGGGUAUUUAGUCUAUAUCUGUGUUAUUUCGUUUCUCAAUUUGAAUUAGUUUUAUUAGUAGAAGUUGUAUGUAAUAUUCGCUAUGAACUUAUAUUGGCAGGGUAUGAAAUAAAUAAAUAUCGUUUCCACGAGAUGUUGGCAACUUUACGUUCAAUUAACGGAGAAGGGGCAGACUACCUUUGUAACAUACGUUUCGAACAGUAGGCACAAGCAUACGACGGCGGCCUACGAUAUGGCCAUAUGACGUCAAACCUGGCUGAAUGCAUAAAUUCUAUUCUUAAAGGAACAUAUUUUCGUUCAGCGACGCUAUUUCCAAAGCGAGCAGCAAGUUAUGCAGGCCAGAUGCAGGGAGGACAUGUAUGGUGCAGUAAGGUAGUUUAAGAAAUUAACAAGGCCAAGGCGCAGGCAAACACCAUGCACACAGUGUGUCACGAUCGAGACAACUUAUGGUUUCACGUGACAGAGUUUGACAGACCGCACCAAGGUGUUGUUGGCGGACAAUAUCGUGUACACUUGCGAAAUAGGACUUACAACUGUGGGAUGUUUGAUGCACUUCGUUAUCCAUGCGCUCAUGUUAUUGCAGCUUGUCAGAAUCUCCGUCUAGAUCCGAUAAAUUGUGUGGACGAAGUGUACAAAUUAGAAAACAUGUACAACGUCUGGAGACUCGUUUUUCCACUGGUCCCAGAUGAACGUAAGUGGCCCCCCGUAUCUCUUUCUCAUUUUAAGCUGUUACCGGAUAGAGAAUUACGUCGUAAACCAGAGGGUCGACCUUGCUCGACUAGAAUACAUAACAAUAUGGAUAUCCGAGAAACAGUCAAUCAACAUAAGUUGUGCAGAUGGUGUAGGAAUCCAGGCCAUACAAGUCGAUCAUGCCCUAAUCGCAAUAGUUGAAUGUAAUUUUUUUAAAAAAAAUUAUAUUUUUUCAAUUAUUAACUGAUAAUUGUAUUAAUUGUUAGUAAAAUUAUCAAAUUAUAUCAAAUAAUUAAUUGUUAGUAUCAGUCAAAACAUUUUUUCAAAUCUAACAUUAUGUGAAUAUAAAAUUAUUAACUGAUAAUUGUAUUAAUAUUAGUAAAAUUAUCAAAUUAUAUUUAAGUUAAGGGUUAGGGUUUUUAAGUUAAGGGUUAAGGGUUAAGGAUUUUAAAGUUAAGGGUCUAGGGUUUUAAAGUUAAGGGUUUAGGGUUUUUAGGUUAAGGGUUAGGGUUUUUAGGUUUAGGGUUUAUGGUUUUUAAUUUAAGGGUUAUGGUUUUUAAGUUAAAGGUCUAGGGUUUUAAAGUUAAGGGUCUAUGGUUUUAAAGUUAAGGGUUAGGGUUUUUAGGUUAAGGGUUUAGGGUUUUUAAGUUAAGGGUUAGGGUUUUUAAGUUAAGGGUUUAUGGUUUUAAAGUUAAGGGUCUAUGGUUUUAAAGUUAAGGUUUAAGGUUUUUAGGUUAAGGGUUAUGGUUUUUAGGUUAAGGUUUAGGGUUUUUAAUUUAAGGGUUAGGGUUUUUAAGUUAAAGUUUAGGGUUUUCAGGUUAAGGGUUAGGGUUUUUAGGUUAAGGUUUAGGGUUUAGGGUUUUUAAUUUAAUGAUUAUGAUUUUUAAGUUAAGCGUUUAGGGUUUUUAAGUUAAGGGUCUAAGGUUUUAAAGUUAAGGUUUAGGGUUUUCAGGUUAAGGGUUAGGGUUUUUAGGUUAAAUGUUUAGGGUUUUAAUUUAAGGGUUAAGGUUUUUAAGUUAAGGGUUUAGGGUUUUUAAGUUAAGGGUCUAUGGUUUUAAAGUUAAGGUUUAUGGUUUUUAGGUUAAGGGUUAGGGUUUUUAGGUUAAGGGUUUAAGGUUUUUAAGUUAAGGGUUUAGGGUUUAAAAGUUAAGGUUUAGGGUUUUUGGGUUAAGAGUUAGGGUUUUAGGUUAAGGGUUUAGGGUUUUUAAUUUAAGGGUUAGGGUUUUUAAGUUAAGGGUUUAUGGUUUCUAAGUUAAGGGUCUAUGGUUUAAAAGUUAAAGUUUAGGGUUUUUAGGUUAAGGGUUAGGGUUUUAUGUUAAAGAUUUAGGGUUUUAAAUUUAAGGAUUAGUGUUUUUAAGUUAAGGGUUUAGGGUUUUAAGUUAAGGGUCUAAGGUUUUAAACUUAAGGGUUAUGGUUUUUAGGUUUAGGGGUUAUGGUUUUUAAUUUAAGGGUUUAUGGUUUUUAAUUUAAGGGUUUAGGGUUUUUAAUUUAAAAGUUUAGGGUUUUUUAAGUUAAGGGUUUAAGGUUUUAAGGUUAAGGGUUAAGGUUUUUAGGUUAAGGGGUUAGGGUUUUAAAGUUAAUGGUUAGGGUUUUUAGGUUAAUGGUUUAGGGUUUUAAAGUUAAAGGUUAAUGAGUUAGGGUUUUUUGGUUAAGGGUUUAAGGUUUGUUAAUUAAAUUAUGCAUUUAAUUAUAAAUUAUAAAUUUAUAAAUUUUUAAUAAGUUAAGCGUUUAGGGUUUUUAAGUAGUAACUCAAAAAAAUUUCUAUUUUUAUUACAUCAAAAAAUAUCAAAAUAUUCAAAAUAUUUGUACAAAUAAAUUUAAAUACAAAAAUCAAUGUCUAUGCCCGCGGGAUUCAGUGCCACAUGGCAGCCGUCGACAGUUACGCGCUGGAUUCCUCCUUGUCCAGCUUUUGGCGGCGAUUAUAGUUCUUCCGGCGGCGGUUGUGGUUCUUCCGGCGGGGAUUCUGGUUCUUCCAGUAGGGCAUCUGGUUGUCGGAGUUGUGACGAUGAGCCACCUUGAUAGAAUUGUGAAUGUGGAGGUGUUUGCAUCACCAACGGCAACGGUGUUUGAAACCCAUACGGUGGUGGGGAUUGGUAAAAAGAAGAGCUCCCCGACGGCCCCUCUUGCGAUCCCUCGUGCGUCGCUGGCCUAUACAUCGGCGGUCGACUCGGCGUAACAGAAAUAGAGCUGAACCGGGCCAUUGGCUCCAACCUGCCAUAGGACUCGAAAAAGGAAACAUAUAAGGGUUAGGAUACAUAAAAGGGCUAGGAAACGCACCUGGCAUCAUCUGAAAAGGCGGUUGCGUGGGUAUCAUUGGUUGAACUGCUGGGUCGGGUGAAUGUCUGGGAGUCGUUGAAGGGCCAGCGUCGUCGUCCUGUCGUCUUGGAUUUAAAGGAUCGCGUCUUUCCCUUUGGACACGUAAUUGCCGCUGCCUCUCCUCUAGCGAUAGUAAAUACGGCUUGCCAUGGAUCCUAAACCAUGGCAUGCAUUCCGGCAUGCACGCUAACUCCGGAACGAUGAUCGGUUCCAUACUAGGUAUAUAGUCAUACCGAUCUUCCCACAUUUGGAUGUACUUGAACCAGAAUCUCGGCCAAUCCGUAUUCAAUUACCGAAGGUCGAUUUUGUGGUGAUCGUCAAACAUCUCAAGUUCCAUGGAAAUCGGUUGUCUACAUCCAAAUUGCCAUAACACCCUGUCUGACUGGUGCAUCUCCACGGUCGCGUAGUUGAUCAACGCGACUUUCGCCUGCCAAGCGUUUGGAUUUUGUAAGAACUCUUUCGGAAUUACUGCCCAAAUUGCCGGAUCCUCAUAUGGUGUCCAUUGAAACUAUAUGAAAAUGAUAGAAAUAUUAAUUAUAUACAUAAUACUAAAUACUAAAUACCAAUCGACUAGCGAAUGAUGGAAAUAUCAAUUUUAUUUAAUACUUACAUGUGCUUCCGACUAUUGGUCUAAUAGAAGCCGUAUAUCUUCAAGAGAGGUAGGUAAUCGAGCAUGACUUGCCGGAUGGUUCCACCUAAUUAAAUAAAUUUUUAGCAUACUUUUAUUUUUAAAAAUCUACAUAAUAAUUGUAAAAUCUAAUAUAAAAUUUACCUCGUUAUCAGUGGGAAUGUAUAUGGGUGGUCCACUCGAGGAUGUAGAAAUGAAAAGCGAAACCGUGCCCAUGAUUGCAGUAGGGACAGGCAACCUCCGAUUUUUGCUUUCCUCGGUCGCAUCGCCCCGUACAUCUCCUUAUAUAACGUUGUCAAGACGGCAGACCCCCAACUUAAUUCACCAGCUGCUCUAAAAUCAACGAGUUGCAGCAGCCAUCUUAGAUGUACGCGGCUCCGUGACAAGUCAGGCAUCAGAUAACCUCCAAUUAACUGAAGAAUGCAUGCCCGAGCAUAUCGGAUUCUUUCUAUUUCGGUUGAAUCUUCAUCCGGAUCCGGGAAUGUGUCUCGAAACCAGCCCAUCUCGAUCUUACCUCCCUCCAUUUUCUCCAGAAUAGCGCCCAAAAGCUCGUAGCACACCGCAAGCCAAUCGCUAGAUUGGGUAGACCCGGUGACUGGGUACCCGUCCACCGGCAAUCCCAAUUGUAGACUGACAUCUUCCAAAGUGAUAGUGCACUCUCUACAUCUUAAAUAAUAUUUAAAAAUUAAAUUUAACGCUUACCAUUUUCAUUUGUUCCACCGAUAUGUGAUGCUUAUCAAGACGAGUCAAUUCUUCGGCCAUUGCUGAAAUCGUACAAAUUUUUAAUGUUUAAAAAAAUUUUAAAAAAGUAAAAUUAUUUAAAAAAAGAGAUUUAAAAGAAAUUUAAGAGGAACUUGGGAGUAAAUUGAAAAUAAAUAUGAAUUUGAGAGAAAUUUUAAAGGAAUUUGAAAGCAAAAGAGUGGGGGUAUUUAUAGUUUUUUUUUUACCGUUCGGGGGGGCAAUGGUCAAUUUUUUGACCGUUGCACUGUUCACGUACGGGGCAAAUCGCAACCACGUCAGCGCGAUUUGCUGACGUGGACACAAAUCGCAUCCUCUGAAGCAGAAUUUGUUGCCACGUCAACGCGCUAUUUGCUGGCACAUACCCUGACAUCGCGCUGACGUGGACGCAAUUUCGAGAAAAAAUGGCCAUUUCGGUAAAUAAUAAAAUACCGGGCCCAUUUCGAUAAAUUUAAAAAAAAAUAGACUUUUUUUAGUAAAUUGCCCUACGUUUUAGUCUUGUUACAAUAUCCAAGUCUAAUGCCAAUAUUGAAGUAUACCGUAAUAGUAAUUAUUCUCUCUAUCUAGUACUCGAAACUGGUUUUAAAUAUCUUCCAUUCACUCGACAAAUAGUUAUGGUCUAAAUAAAUUUCUGGAAUUCAUGGCUGCCUACUUGCGAGAGGAUUAAUGAAAUAUGCGAUGCAAGUUGAUGAAAUCUUAUUAUUUGUAAUAUAAAAAACAAAACCCAUGCAUCCUUAAUAACAUAAAAAAAACACAUUCCAUAAUCAACAUCUGAGAAUUUAAAACUUAAUUGUAAUGUUGGCUGAACAAGACUCAAAAAGGGGAGAAAAGAAAAAUAAGUCCGAACCUGAAAAAAGUGACCGUAUAAAAAACCCUGACAGGCAGAACAGUAGCAAGCAACAUAAAACCAAGACAUAUUAUCACUUAAAGCACUUGGCAUCCAAGAGAGGCUCUCCCUCAAAUGGCUCGCAGUCUUCAAUCAUCUGAUUCACCCGUUCCUUCUGGGCUGCAUCUGACAGGUCAACCUUCUUCCACUCGUAGAGUUCCAUGUCAUAGCACUCGUCAAUCACAAAUUGAGGAAUCUCUUGCCCACGGAAAAGCCAUAGUCCUUUCACCUUGAAUGGAGGGUUAGCACCGAUCACCAACAUCUUCCCAAAUGCAUACUUGCGGGCCAAAUCCAUUCUCUGCAGGAAUCCUCCAACCUUGUUCAUUGUGACAAAUGAAACUGUAUUCUCCUCAUUGUACUUGUAGUCACAAAACCACAGUGAGUAUCCCUCGGGAUCAUACAUGUCCCAGAAUCCUGACACGAAUCAAGUAUCAGAUAUCACAAGCCCAAACAUUGCUUUUAAAAGGGAGUGCUACUGUGAAAACAACAGGGAUACCUUUAAUUGCAACCUCUCGGAAAUUGGUCUUUGUGUUAGAGUAAAGCCUCUUCCAGUCAUCCAGUACCAUCUUACUUGGAGGCAGCAAAUCAAGAGGAUUCUUUGGUUUGGGCUUUGGUGCCUCCUCCUCAGCUGCCUCUGCCUUUGCUGCCUGUUUCUCAACCUCCUUUUUGGCUUCUUUCUUUGGUUCAGCCUUUGGUUUAGUUUCUUUUGGCUGGGCAGCAGGCUUCUUUGAAGGAACAGGUGGUAGAGAGACUGCCUGCUUCACUUCACCAAGAAUCUUCUUGAUUUUUGGUUGAUUAACCAAGGUCCAAAAGUACCUCUCAACAUGAGGGAACUCCGAGGUAAAACUCUUAGUCAUGAUCUGGGAGAAACCCAAGUAGAGGUUACAUGUCAUGAUAAUGUCAGCAAGGGUGACAAAAUGUCCAACAAGAAAUGUGUUGGAAGCAAGAUGAGUGUUCAAAGCGCCAAGGGCUCUCUUCAAUGCAGCAAUAGCAGCUUCCUCAGCCUACAUGCAAAAUACAUAUAAGAGAUUAAAAUGAAAUAGGUAGGCAAAAUCAUACCAUUGAAUUAAAAUGAACUACUACUGAAUUACAAAAAUAAAAUUUAACUCUUAAUAUAGAUUAAUAAAUACAUCAGAAUGGGGGAGAAAACAACCUAGUCUCUUAAAAAAAUAAUGAGGAGAAAACCCAUGCCUACUUGAUUAUCAAUGCAAUGGGCAUUCCCUUCAACCAAAAUUACUUAAUAGUGCUUGAGUUGAUUCCUUUCCAGAAACUAUGCAGGGGAAAACACUACCACAUUAAGCAUGUACUAAAUGUUGUCUAACUAAUCCUCUCUAAAAUAAAUAAAACAAGAAUCAUAGACAGGUAAUCAAUGCCAAUUUUCC